GGGGUUUUAAGACAGCCAGGUACUCCCCUAGUACUGCGAGUGAAGCUGGGAAAAGCUCAAAUUUAAAAUCUGGUGGUCUUUGGCCAUCCGAGUUGUAAUCUAGAGAAGUGUUAUCCGCGCUGGACCGUGUACAAGUCCCCUGGAAUGGGGCGUCAUAGAGGGUGAGAAUCCCGUCUUUGACACGGACUACCAGGGCUUUGUGAUGCACUCUCAAAGAGUCGAGUUGUUUGGGAAUGCAGCUCAAAAUGGGUGGUAAAUUCCAUCUAAAGCUAAAUAUUGGCGAGAGACCGAUAGCGAACAAGUACCGUGAGGGAAAGAUGAAAAGAACUUUGGAAAGAGAGUUAAACAGUACGUGAAAUUGUUGAAAGGGAAACGCUUGAAGUCAGUCGCGUCUGCCAGGGAUCAACCUUACUUUUGUGAGGCGUACUUCCUGGUUGAUGGGUCAGCAUCAGUUUUGGUCGCUGGAUAAAGGUCAGAGAAAUGUGGCACCUUCGGGUGUGUUAUAGUCUUUGAUCAGAUACAGUGGCUGGGACUGAGGAACUCAGCGCCGCAAGGCUGUCUUAGGAUGCUGGCAAAAUGGCUUUAAUCGACCCGUCUUGAAACACGGACCAAGGAGUCUAACAUGCCUGCGAGUGUUUGGGUGGAAAACCCGAGCGCGUAAUGAAAGUGAAAGUUGGGAUCCCUGUCAUGGGGAGCACCGACGCCCAUACCAGAAGUUUACGGACGGAUAUGCGGUGGAGCAUGUAUGUUGGGACCCGAAAGAUGGUGAACUAUGCCUGAAUAGGGCGAAGCCAGAGGAAACUCUGGUGGAGGCUCGUAGCGAUUCUGACGUGCAAAUCGAUCGUCGAAUUUGGGUAUAGGGGC
rnacentral:rRNA from 1 species